ACAGGAUUAGAUACCCGGGUAGUCCACGCCGUAAACGAUGUCGACUUGGAGGUUGUGCCCUUGAGGCGUGGCUUCCGGAGCUAACGCGUUAAGUCGACCGCCUGGGGAGUACGGCCGCAAGGUUAAAACUCAAAUGAAUUGACGGGGGCCCGCACAAGCGGUGGAGCAUGUGGUUUAAUUCGAUGCAACGCGAAGAACCUUACCUACUCUUGACAUCCAGAGAACUUGCCAGAGAUGGCUUGGUGCCUUCGGGAACUCUGAGACAGGUGCUGCAUGGCUGUCGUCAGCUCGUGUUGUGAAAUGUUGGGUUAAGUCCCGCAACGAGCGCAACCCUUAUCCUUUGUUGCCAGCGGUCCGGCCGGGAACUCAAAGGAGACUGCCAGCGAUAAACUGGAGGAAGGUGGGGAUGACGUCAAGUCAUCAUGGCCCUUACGAGUAGGGCUACACACGUGCUACAAUGGCGCAUACAAAGAGAAGCGACCUCGCGAGAGCAAGCGGACCUCAUAAAGUGCGUCGUAGUCCGGAUUGGAGUCUGCAACUCGACUCCAUGAAGUCGGAAUCGCUAGUAAUCGUGGAUCAGAAUGCCACGGUGAAUACGUUCCCGGGCCUUGUACACACCGCCCGUCACACCAUGGGAGUGGGUUGCAAAAGAAGUAGGUAGCUUAACCUUCGGGAGGGCGCUUACCACUUUGUGAUUCAUGACUGGGGUGAAGUCGUAACAAGGUAAC
rnacentral:rRNA from 1 species